UAGGGAAUCUUCCGCAAUGGACGCAAGUCUGACGGAGCAACGCCGCGUGAGUGAGGAAGGCCUUCGGGUCGUAAAGCUCUGUUGCCAGGGAAGAACGGGUAGGAGAGUAACUGCUCUUGCCAUGACGGUACCUGAGAAGAAAGCCCCGGCUAACUACGUGCCAGCAGCCGCGGUAAUACGUAGGGGGCAAGCGUUGUCCGGAAUUAUUGGGCGUAAAGCGCGCGCAGGCGGCCUUGUAAGUCUUGUGUUUAAACUCGAGGCUCAACCUCGAGUCGCAUGGGAAACUGCAAAGCUUGAGUGCAGCAGAGGAAAGUGGAAUUCCACGUGUAGCGGUGAAAUGCGUAGAUAUGUGGAGGAACACCAGUGGCGAAGGCGACUUUCUGGGCUGUAACUGACGCUGAGGCGCGAAAGCGUGGGGAGCAAACAGGAUUAGAUACCCCUGUAGUCC
rnacentral:rRNA from 1 species